AUUAAUUUUUUACUUUUGUAAUAUGUUUAAAAAUAUUACAAGUCUUUUAUUUUAAAAAUUUGGACAUGUUUAUGAUUCCUAAUAAAACACUUAUAAUCUUGUGCAAUUCUGAUCAAUCUAAAUUGAGAAAGAUAAAUUAAUAUUUUUAAGAGAUUGUUUCAAAUUUCAUAAGUUGUUGUUUAUAGUUUAUAUACUUAAUUUGUAAAUUUACAAUGAUAAAUACAUUUUUGACAUUAUAAAAUGAUGAUCAUUACCUAGAAAUGAAUAUUAUCCUUACUUUUUUUUAUAAUGCAUAGGUAAUGGCACCAAAACAACAAUCUCAUGAUCCAGCUUGGAGACACGCACGUCGAUUAGAAAAUCGAUUCCAUUGGCAAUGUUUGCAUUGCGAUAUGAUUGGAUGCGGCGGCGGGGUCACACGCCUAAAACAACAUCUUGCUGGUGGAUAUCCGGAUGUUUCUAAUUGUCCAAAAGUUUCUCAAGAAGUGCGUCGUGCAAUGAAAGAGGAACUUGAUGGCAAAAAAGCAUUAAAGUAUAAACAACAACGAGAACGGGAACUUGUUGAUAGUCGAAGCUCUAAAGAACCAAUCUAUGAUGAAAUGGAAGGUCGUGGUGAAGUUCCAAAUGACGAAGACUUUUUAGCAGCUCUCAAUGCCUCUCGAACUCAAUAUGACUAUGAGCAAAAUAUGCAACAUAGAAGUAGCUCUGGUGCUAGUGGAAGUGGCUCAACUACUGCAUCAACAUUAGGAAGGAGUGCAAGUGUUCGUAUUACUUCAACACAAGGUGGUAUUGGUCGUUUUUUUUCUUCUAUGGGACGAAGACGUGCAAUUGAUAUUGCUGAUAUUGAUCCACUAGCAUUUCCAGACCAAGCUAGGAAGCAGACUAGGAUUGAUGAUGCAUAUUCAAAAGAGAAGAAGAAAUCAAUCGGUAAAAGUAUUGCUAAAUUUUUCCAUUUUAAUCAUAUUCCUCCUAAUGCAGCAAACAACACAUACUACCGUAGCAUGGUGUCCAACAUCCAAAAAUCUGGUCCUGGUAUUCAACCUCCGACUGCAUAUGAAAUUGCCGGCCCAUAUUUAGAUGAACAAGUGGAGGAGAUCAAGACUUGGAUCCUAUCAUGCAAGAAACAAUGGAGCUUAUAUGAGGUUACGUUGAUGUAUGAUGGCUGGACAGGACCUACACGGAUGAGCAUCAUCAACUUUCUACUAUACUACAAUAGAAAGGUGAUAUUUCAUAAAUCUAUUGAUGCAACUACAGAGUAUCAUGAUGCACCCUACAUAUUUUGUUUGAUGGAUAGUGUAGUUCACGAGAUAGGUGCAGAACAUAUAGUACAGGUGAUUACAGAUAAUGAUGUCAACUUUAAAAGGGCUGGAGAGAUAUUGGAGCAAAGGUAUCAAACAUUAUUUUGGACACCAUGCGCAGCACACUGUAUCGAUUUGAUGAUGGCAGAUAUCGGUAAGCUCGAUAUAGUGAAGAAGGUAGUGAAAAAAGGUCAAUCUUUAACAAAAUUCAUCUAUAAUCAUCAUUGGGUUCAUGGAUUAAUGAGGAAAUUUAUUAAUGGGGAGAUUCUGCGACCAGGAGUGACUAGAUUUGCCACUCACUUUCUACUGUUAAAAUCGUUGAAUCAGAAAAAAGUCGGAUUAAAGGCCAUGUUCUCUUCUGAGAAUUGGGAAGCCUCUCGAUAUUCUAACACGACUGAAGGUAAGGAGGUGCAAAAAAUUAUUAUGUCUGUCAGAUUUUGGGACUAUAUUGCAGAUAUUCUUAUAGCAGUAGAACCAUUGUACGUUGUUCUACGUAAAGUUGAUAUGGACAAGAAGCCACAAAUGGGCAACGUUUACUGCCUAAGCAAAAGAGGAAAUUAAGAGGCGUCUACAAUUACCGACCAAGUAUCAACAUUACAUUGAUAUAAUCACUAAAAGAUGGGAUGAUCAAAUGGGAAAACCUAUUCAUUUGACCGGUACGUAUUUUUUAAUGAUAACGAAUUUUUAAUAUUGUUAUUAAUAAUUAUAUAUGUUUAAUUAUUAUAGGUUAUUAUCUCAAUCCGGCAUAUCAAUAUCGUUAUAAUCUUGGCACAAAUGAUGAUUUAUUAGUGGCCCUCAGACAUUAAUAUCAAGACUGCAUACAAACACAGAAUCAAUUGCUGAGACUAUUAAUGAAAGUCGAUUAUUUCGAGAGGCAUAUGGUUCUUUUAGUGAUCCUAUUGCAGUUUCAUGCAGAUAUAAAAUGGAUGCAGCUGAGUGGUGGUUACAAUAUGGAGGAUCAGCUCCAAAUUUGAAAAAGAUUGCAGUACGAAUUCUCUCACAGACAACGUCUUCAAGCGGUUGUGAAAGAAAUUGGUCAACUUUCUCCCUCAUUCAUACAAAAGUACGAAAUCGUCUUUCUUAUCGUCGCUUGGAGAAGAUGGUCUACGUUCAUUAUAAUAUGCGUCUUCAACUAAGAGCAAUAACAGAAGAGAAUGAAGAACAGGAGUCUGGUGAUGUAGACCCAUUUGAUAUUGGAUUUGUCCAGACUGAGAAUGAUCCAAUGAUGGAUUGGUGGAGCGCUGUUGAGGCUGAGAAUCCAUUACUUGAUGAAGCAGGAGACCCACCACGACCAUCUCAAUUUCUUACUCAACAGAUUGAAAAAAUACAAGCUAGAGGAGAUAUCUGCGAGGAAGAAGAUGAUGAAGCUUUUGAUCAAGAAUUUCGAUUUUCUGGAUCUCGGUCUAGGCGUUCUCAAACAUCACAAACCCAACCAAAGUCCAUAGAUAAAGGCAAAGGCAAAGCUCUUGCAAUUUUUACUAAAAAGAAAGAAAAAGGCAAACCUCCUACUUUUAUGGGAAGUGGUCCAUUUAGAAUUAAAGACAAUCCACUCGAUGCAAUUGAUGAGCAAGAACAUGAUGACAGUGAU